UGAAAUGUCCUUUAAGCUCCAAAAUGCUCCAAAAUCAUAGCUGUACUCCGAAAUGCACCUGAACCUGAAAACAUACCUAGAAGAGUAUAAAACAUAUAUAUAUAUAUAUAAAACACUUAUAUACCAUGGAUGAAAACGGGUCAAAUCCAAGGUAUAUCAUUGACCUUCUUGAAGUUGAAGCUCCUUUCUUUUGAAUCCCAGGUUUAAUAGAUCUGAAGCUUGUCUUUUCUAGAUCCCCUGGUUUAAAAUUAGUAAUAUGGUUGUAAUGAGUAUAAGUAAUUAAAAGAUACACGGCUUGUUUGAAGUAAAAACAUGAGUAUGCAAAAUUACUUGUUAAUGAUGUGAAGCAAGAUCUCAGCUCUGGGGUGUUAGGAACUUGUGAUCUAAUUUGGUCGAGACCUUGGAAACAUAUCAAAAUUAAACUCAUUAUAAAGGAUUUCAAGGUUAACCGAUUUGUGGUGAUAAGCAUGGUUGGACAUGAAACACUUACCAAGGACACACCUUCGUAUUUUUCUUGGUGUAUGUGGUGAAAGCAUGCUUAUCUUGUCAUAUGGGGUUGUAUUGCUUGGUACUUGCCGGUUUUCAAAGAGUCUAUAAUAUAUAGAGCAUAAAGGAAUUUCUUUAAAGGCUAUAGUACUUGAAGAACUGUGCCUUUGAGGUUCAACUAAUGAGGUUGUCGUUUUUUCUGUUGCAGGUUCGACUUCAGUGAUUGGUUUUGGUUUUUUCCGUUUCAUCUUCAGAAAAUCGAGACCAAGAAAUUUUUCUCGUUUCAGUAAGAGGAUGAGAGAGUAGCCGAAAGAGGAGAUUGGUCGUGACUGAUAAAUUUAUUUAAGAGGUAUUCUUCAAUUACUGUUUCUAAUUUUAGAUUCAUAAUAUAUGGUUGGCUUUAAUUUAGGAAAACUGUUGAUAACAAUUAGGAUUCUUGAUAUCUUUUUUUCAGUGAUAUACUUCUGAUUUUGGUACUGUACUUUAUAUAACUUUAAAUUGUUUUUUAAGGUCGUAGCAAUCUUGUAAAUGGAGAUUACAAAGGCCUGUGAAGAAUAUGGAAGCAUCAAAGUGUUAUAUGAAUCAAAACUGUCUUAUAGCAGGCGACUACUAUGAUAUUGAACUGGUAUGUCAUGUAUAAACUCAUCUUAUAUUUCUUUGAUAGUUUGUAGGAUGGUAAAAAUCGGUAAACCAGACAAAAUUUGGUUUAGUUAGGAGAAUCGAAUGGUUAGUUAGGUGGUUAGUUAGGCGAAUCUAUUGAUUAUUUAAUUGAAUUUUGAAGACUGGUUGUCCAUUGUUUAGAUGUUGAACUAAUGGAAUGGAAAAGUCAGAUCAAAUUGUAUAGAGUCUAAUCUAAUUAUAUAAUCUAAUUUAUGGAAUGAUAUAGGAAAUCUCAAUAUUCUUAAAUAUAAAAAACCAAUCCAAUAAGAAAAACCAAUAAAAAGCAAUGCAUAAAUCAUAAAGUUCAGAAAUAAUUAAAGUAAAAAACAUCAUUAAACAUAAGGGGGGGGGGGGGGGGUGGUUGAUGGCGAAGUGGACACAUUCUCUUGAGACUAUUCUUUCUUUUCCUUCUCUUGUUUAAUCAUCUUGGUGCACAGCUUCUUGGAAGAAGAUGAUAUGUCUGUUAGAUCAGAAUGAUCUUCUUUGCGCUUUGUGAUGGGAGUGGGAAAAUCUUCUGAUGAAUUCUGAUCCAACAUCAGAACCUAAAAUUAGAUUAAAUUAAUCAGUAAGAUUGUAUUAUAAAAGUCCAAAUUAAAACAGACACAAAGUAAGACCAAAUAUAAAAUUCCAAGUUAAAACAGACAAAAAAGAAGACCAAAUGUAAGGCUCAUGUUUUUUAAUACUAAUACACUUACAGAUCCAGAUGACAUGGUGGAAGAUGUUGUGGCCAUACCAGAAAAUGAGUAAGAGCCAUUUUCAAUACUUAAAACUUUAGCUCCAGAAAAAACCUCUAAAACCACAAACGUGACCGCUCCAUUUGUAACAUUAUCAGAGCUUAUAGAAAGCCCAAAACAGAAAAACUUUCCAACCAAACUAAGAAUAUGUUCUGGUAGUAUCUCUGGAUCUUCAAUCUACAAAAAAAUAGCAAUAUAUUUAUUUGUUAUUAUGGGUAAUGUUAGUGGUUUACACACAAUUUGAACAAAAUAAUACCUCUUCAUAAGAGCCAUCCCAUAGCUCUUCAGCUUUAACUCCAACGAUUGACUGACCAACAGAUCCUAGCAACAUUAGGUUACAUGUCCAUGUGUCAUCUUUCACAACCAAAUGUAGGUUGAAUCUACUCAAACAACAAAAUUUUGUAUUGUUAGGACAUGUAUGAGAAUAAAAAAGGUAAUACGGGCCUAAGCUUUGAAAUUAAUUACUUGAGUGACACGUUAGUGAUAUUGGAACGGCAAACUUCACAGCGAAACUAUGGUUUAUCUUUCUUUGUCAUCCUCCCAUAAUCAACGUUGGGAGCUUAUUGACACGUUUCUGGUGCCGGAUACAACCAAAAUAGAACCAUGCCCAAUAUGUAUCUAUUGCCUCAACAGAACAUAUUAUUUUGCAAAUCUCCACCUAUAUUGGUUUAAAAAGAAAACAUUAUGUGAUUUUAUGUUGAUAACAUUAAACCAUUUGAAAAAAAAUCGGAGCAGACAACAUAUGUACCUGAUUGGCCUCAUUGACUUCUGCAGUUGAUUUGAUCUCAGCAUCAUUCCAGUCAUAUUUAAUUCUUUUACCAUCCUUCUUUCCAUCAUGUUUGUCCACCAGCGCAACAGAUAGAUGAUCAUCUGACAGCCUACAAAGAAUUAAGAUCACACCAACAUCAGUGUGUGGAUAUGAUUCUAUAAUACAAACAUGAAACAACACUAAAAGAAAUCGAUGUUUAACCUUUCUGUUAAAUCUGUAAGUUCAGGGAUCAUCGGAUUCAAGUAGAGGCGUGUUGCAUCAAAAGCGUUUGUGAUUUGUACCUCACCUAGUUAACAUAGAUUAAAUUAUGUGCAAAAAUAUAGAGAAAAAGUAUUUUUACACGUUUAAAAAUACAAUUAAAAUACCUCUAAAGUCUUUGAUUUUUGCAAACCUGAUCAAACAAACAAUUGAUUGAUCUUUGUCCUCAGUAAAAGGUUCAAGACAAAGACGCCCCGAGAGAGUCAACGGAACAGAAUCCCGAUGAAACGGCUCCGGCAGGGCAGAGAACAACGUCGGAUAACCUUCCCCCCCCCCCCCCCCCCCGCAGUGGGAAGCGAAGGAGACGACAUCGAACGAAUCAACCUGGACAUCAGCGAUCGAUCGGAUCAUUCUGACGACGCCGCUGAUAUCCAUCCUAGAAGGACCCGAAGUCGGUCCACUCGACAGACAGUGACCUUUGAGAAACCCAUGACAGAAGAGGAAGAAAACCUCUACUGGGUGGAACAGGAAAAACUGGCCGACGACCAAACUCGGAUCUAUCGCAACCAGGGCCGACAACUCGGAAGAGCGCAGGUGGCGAUGACGAAAUCCACAAUUUACGCGAGUACAUCGCAAAAACUGCAGCCGAGGUGAAGGCGGUAAAAUCGCAAAUUCACCACGCAACCAGUACCGCUCCCGAGAUCGACAGACUUCUCGAGGAAGCACGAAAAAAUCCGUUCACCGCCCGGAUCACGGAAGCAGAGGUCUCAGACCCCGGGAAGAUAAAAAUUCCCGUCUACGACGGUACCGCUGUUCCAAAUGCACAUCUGCAGUCUUUCCAGAUUGCGAUGGGACGGUGUAAACUCCCGGAACGAGAACGAGACGCCGGUUACUGCCUCCUUUUCGUCAAAAAUCUCAGAGGCGCCGCGCUUGAGUGGUUUUCUCAUCUCGACAGAAACUCCAUCGGAAGUUUCCGCCAGCUAGCCUAGGCAUUUCUCAAACAAUUCUCCAUGUUCAUGGAUAGAGAAACUUCCGAUGUGGACUUAUGGAGUUUAGCUCAGAAAGAAGACUAGCCACUCCGUCACUUCAUGAGUAGAUUCAAACUGGUGAUGUCCAGGGUAACGGGAAUCAGCGACAAAGUCCCAAUAGACGCCCUAAGAAAAACUCUCUGGUACAGGUCAAAGUUCCGCAAGUGGAUAUCUCUGGAAAGACCGCGGACGAUCCAGGAUACCCUCCAUAAGGCCAAAGACUUCAUCAUCAUGGAAGAAGAGAUGAAAGUCCAAGCGCAAAAGCACGGGCCGCAGGAACCAUCCGACAAGAAGAAAUCCUCCUGUAACGACAAGUACGUCCACCACGAGGGGGAAGACGUCCAAGGCAAACAUAACUACACCGUCAAUUCCGAAAAGGGUUAAACCUUCGGAAACACUUGGACCAGGAACCAGUACAAGGAUAAUUCCUACUGCGAGUUCCAUCAGGUUAGAAGUCACUCCACCACCAACUGCAAGGUCCUUGGUGCCAGGCUCGCUGCAAAUCUCCUCGCCGGCGAACUAGCAAAGGUCACGAGCAUAAAAGACCUGGUCCUGGAUUCCAAUCGCCCGCCGAAGACUGAUUAGGCCGCUCCCGAGAACAGUGCACCUGAAAAUCACUCGAGCGAAAAGCGCGGAAGGAGACAGGAUGAUCAGGGAAACAAUAACAAUCGCCAAAGAAUAAACAUGAUCAUCGGAGGAUCGCAGUUCUACCAAGACUCGUUCUCGUCGAUCAAAGCUUACGGGCAAAAAGCCGAGACCAGUUCCAACUGGCUUCUGGAAAAUGACGUCCCCAACCACACGAUCGUUUUCGAGGAACAAGAAACCGUCGGAAUCGACAAGCCUCAUUACGAUCCUCUAGUCAUCGAUUUGGUAAUCCAAGAUCUCGAAGUCGGCCGCAUCCUUGUCGAUACAGGAAGUACGGUCUACAUCAUGUUCCGCGACACCCUCCAUAGGAUGGAUAUCCCGCUUGGAGAAGUCAUCCCGGAGCCGAGACCUCUGACUGUAUUCUCGGGCGUCACCUGUAUGACCCUCGGGAGGAUUAAACUCCCGGUCAUGGCUAAGGAAGUUACAAAAAUCGUCGAGUUCGCAGUAGUCGAUAACCCGGCCAUUUACAACGUGAUUAUGGGAACCCCCUGGAUAAACACCAUGAAGACAGUACCAUCCACAUAUCAUCUUGGCAUCAAAUUCCCGACUCCAACUGGAAUCGUAGUAAUCUUGGGAAGCUAGAAACAGUCGAGACUUUGCUUCCUAGCCGAGCACCAACUACGAAAAAACUGGAACGCCCCCGUGGCUAAUCCAAAGCGAGCGAAAAAAUCGCUAAACAUUCCCGAGAAGUCGGGAAAGGAUGAUCCAGAAUCGUCCCAUUUGGCAACGACCCAAGAAGACGACAAAGUCCCCGGGUCCAUCGCCGUAGAAGCGGACAACUCAACUCCCGAAAAGACCACCGACCUAGCUAGUACGGUCGAGACGUUGACACUCGGAGAGUAGAAACACCCGCAACAACAAACAGAACUAUGAGAUGGCUUAAUCCUCGAAAGAGGUACGUAGGCAGCUCGCUGGAACCUGGCGAGUUCAGCUAUUCCCCUCUUCAAAAAUGGGGGGGGGGAGUGGGUACGUAUACUAGUAUACUCCCCCAAAAGUUCAAAAUACCCGCACAUGUAUUCGAUAUUUUCGAAACUUUUUCAAUAAAAUUCUUUCUCUCGAUUUUUCAAUGCUUACUUAACACAGUAACACAUAAACAAAUCGGAAAACGAAAAUCACAUCCUCAAGGAACGCAAGACGUCGCAAUUUCGCAAAAGAUAUCGAUUUCAUAUCAUCCGUCAAAACAGUCCGUCUGCGACUUUAAAAAAAAACACACACACCCGUCGAUUGGCCCCGACGGGUAAACAUAGAAACGUUUCACUAAAAGAAAUUCGUAGUCAGAUCUUUAAUAAAAGGUCCUCUUACAUCUGACAAGGAUACCAUAGCGCGCUAUACAAGAAAUCCAAAAUUUGGUUUAACACUCCUUUGGAGAUAGCUCGAUUCUUACUACACAAGUCGCAUAAGCCGGUGCCAAGUCGCAGACUUUAAUCAGUAAGAGUCAGGAAGAAAUCACUAACAGGCAAAACAAAAGCCGAUCAGUCGUCGCACAGCCUUAAAGCUGAGAGUAAACCUAGGUCUUGCCCUAAACCCAGCCUUGCUGGUACUUAACAUCUCACAGACAUAGUAUCAGUACCCGAUACGAGAUCUAAAACAUGUCUCUCAUCGCUUACACCUAAAACGCUCGCUAAAAAGUAGCAUACGGACCAAGCGACAAAAUAAGAGUUAGAAUACGAAGUGACUACUCGCAUUCUACCCUCUACACUUGACGAAAGUAUAAAUCAAAUCAUAAAACAAAAUUUUCGAAAAAUCUAUAUUUUUAUUCAUAAAACCCGCAAAAACGGCAGGGAUUCAAAGCCACCAACGGCCAGUCCCGAAAUAUACAAAGUUACGCGACCUCCUACGGUCGCGGCAUAUACAACUAAACGGCCACACACGGCC